rnacentral:tRNA from 1 species
UGGCUCAGUCAGUAGAGUAUGUGACUUUUGAUCUCAAGGUCGUGGGUUCGAGUACCAC